rnacentral:rRNA from 6 species
GAGGCAAGCGUUAUCCGGAAUUAUUGGGCGUAAAGGGUACGUAGGCGGCUGGUCAAGUCUGGGGUCAAAGGCCACAGCUCAACUGUGGGAAGGCCCUGGAAACUGACCGGCUAGAGUGAGGUAGGGGUUGCGGGAAUUCCCGGUGUAGCGGUGAAAUGCGUAGAGAUCGGGAAGAACACCUGAGGCGGAAGCGCGCAACUGGGCCUCAACUGACGCUGAGGUACGAAAGCUAGGGGAGCGAAUGGGAUUAGAUACCCCAGUAGUCCUAGCCGUAAACGAUGGACACUAGACGUUGGCCGUAUCGACCCGGUCAGUGUCGGAGCUAACGCGUUAAGUGUCCCGCCUGGGGAGUACGCACGCAAGUGUGAAACUCAAAGGAAUUGACGGGG